UGCAGGUUAAGGAAUGGGAAGGCAUAAUUCACAACGAGGCCGGUGUUUCUAUUGCUGAGAAGAAGCACAAAACAACUGCAUCACAAAUAGCAGAAGUGCAACUGUAGGAUAUAAUGAAACUUUGAGGUGUGGCCAGUGAUGUGUCAGCCAGCUCAUUUUUUGUGUUGAGCACCAGGAGCCUAAUUUAUAAACUACCAAAUGAUUUUAAAAAGGUUUCAAUACAGUGUGAUCUGUGGUGAUGCUCUGAGGGAGUUUGAGAUGUCAGUGAAGAAGCUUCCAGAAGCGAAAAGUGGUGGCGCGGCUGUCAUGGCACACACCAGAGUCACUGGUAAAGCACUACAGAAUGAGAACUCCUGGAGAUGCAUUUCUGGCUUCUAAGUGCACCUGCCAGCUGAGAGAUGAGCUGACGGCCUACAGCAGUUGGGCAGAGUCCUAUCCAGU
rnacentral:lncRNA from 1 species